rnacentral:rRNA from 1 species
GUGGUGCUAGUCGGUUGUCGUCAGCUCGUGUCGUGAGAUGUUGGGUUAAGUCCCGCAACGAGCGCAACCCCUAUCUCUAGUUGCCAGCGAUUCGGUCGGGACUCUAGAGAUACUGCCCCGGUUAACGGGAGGAAGGUGGGGAUGACGUCAAGUCCUCAUGGCCCUUAUGCCCAGGGCUACACACGUGCUACAAUGGGCGGUACAAAGGGUAGCGAUGCCGCGAGGUGAAGACCAAUCCCAAAAAGCCGUCCACAGUUCGGAUUGGAGUCUGCAACUCGACUCCAUGAAGCCGGAAUCGCUAGUAACCGUGGAUCAGCAUGCCACGGUGAAUACGUUCCCGGGCCUU